CUGUCACACAGCCGCUAGCCAUGUACGACGCUCGGCUCAUUCAUUGUUGCCAAGUCUGGGAUUGGGAUACUUUUACACUUGUGCUGUGAUUACGCUACUUUUGGGAUGGUUUUGUUGCGCAGACCUGGCAACCCUCCACUCCAAAACCCCACCCCUUUCAUGCACUUCGAAGUGCGUAGCCCCUGAAUUGGGACACAGCUGAGAUGUCAAGGAAAACAUUCGACUGUAAGUUAAGUUAAAACUGCAAUAUGUAAUAUUUUAUGUCCGCUAGAGGCCUAUUCAAAACAAAGGCAUAGCUUGAUGACCGGAAUCUUGGGACAUGUGGUCUUCACCUCAGGAUGGUGCAAAAGAAUAGGGAUAGGACUCGGGAAGAAAUCAUGUUCAUGGAUGCGAUUAUUAAGAAAACUGUAGUAUGGAGAAGAGCAGGACCGAGUGUUGUGGGAGCUGAACGAGGCCACUGGAGCAAUUACGCAACACAUACCACGAGCAGCGGAACUUUUAUUAUGCCACAGUCGCCGACACCGCUUCCGCUUUUCUGGUCAUGAGAAUGAGGACAUCCUGGGAUAUUUAAUGACCACAGUCAGGACUUCAGUUUCACGUCUCAUCUGAAGGACUGUGCUUUUUGACAGUAUAGUGUCCCCAUCACUAUACUUGAGCGUUAGGACCCACACAAACCACAGAGUGAACACCCCCUGCUGGACUCACUAACACCUCUUCCAGCAGCAACCUUGUUUUCCCAGGAGGUCUCUCAUCCAGGCUCAUGCGGCGAAACGGGAUGGCAUACCCGACACGGAUCUUCAGCAUGCCACUGAACAGCUCAGGGUUGUUGGAGAUGAUCCAGCCAAUGUGGAUGACAAGCUCCUGCUGCAGCACGGCCUCUCGCUCGCCGUGGGGGCUGCACUUGCUGUAUAUGAUGUCCUUUAUGACCCCUGGAGACAGCGGGUUAGAGAUCACAAUCUCCUCAUGCCCAAACAGCCCGAGAGUGACCUGGUAAAUCAGAACUGCCAUCAGUCUCGAUCACAAUAGAUGAUUUCUCAGACAAUUUUCUCAUUUUGGUCAUUUCUGUUUCUCUGAAGGGGAUUUAAAUGUACUGCAAUGACUCAAA